UGUGAGCCGACCGCGGGCGCUGGGCGGGUCCGCGGCGCGGUCGGUCGGCGCCUAUUCUCGGGCUGUUUGGCGGGUGAAUCAGGUCUAGGAAAAUCGACUCUCAUAAACAGCCUAUUCCUAACUGAUCUGUACCCAGAAAGAGUCAUACCUGGAGCAGCAGUUUGUUUCUUUUCUAGAAAAAAUUGAAAGAACCGUCCAGAUUGAGGCUUCAACUGUUGAAAUUGAAGAGCGAGGGGUCAAGCUACGCCUGACAGUGGUAGAUACCCCUGGCUAUGGUGACGCUAUCAACUGCAGAGAUUGUUUUAAGACAAUUAUCUCCUAUAUUGAUGAGCAAUUUGAGAGGUACCUGCAUGACGAGAGCGGCUUGAACAGGCGGCACAUCAUUGAUAAUAGGGUGCAUUGUUGCUUUUACUUUAUUUCACCUUUUGGACAUGGACUUAAGCCCUUAGAUGUGGCGUUUAUGAAGGCAAUACACAACAAGGUGAAUAUUGUGCCUGUCAUUGCAAAAGCUGACACUCUCACCCUGAAGGAACGGGAGCGGCUGAAGAAAAGGAUUCUGGA
rnacentral:sRNA from 1 species